rnacentral:rRNA from 1 species
AGUAUAAAUAGCUUUUAGAAUAAGGGCUGGGUAAGACCGGUGCCAGCCUCCGCGGUAAAAACCGGCAGCCCCGAGUGGUACUCGCUUUUAUUGGGCUUAAAGCGUCCGUAGUCGGUGAAGUCAGUUCUCUGUGAAAUCCACUCGACAACGUGUGGGCGUGCAGGGAAUACUACUUUGCUAGGAGUCGGGAAGGGUCAGGGGUAUCUGGAGGGUAGCGGUGAAAUGUUAUAAUCCUUCAGAGACCACCGGUGGCGAAGGCGCCUGACUAGAACGAGCUCGACGAUGAGGGACGAAAGCUAGGGUAGCGAACCGGAUUAGAUACCCGGGUAGUCCUAGCCGUAAACGAUGCGGACUAAGUGUUGCGAAAACCUCGUGUUUUUGCAGUGCUGAAGGGAAACUGUUAAGUCCGCCGCCUGGGGAGUACGGUCGCAAGGCUGAAACUUAAAGGAAUUGGCGGGGGAGCACCACAAGGCGUGGAGUCUGCGGUUUAAUUGGAUACAACGCCGGACAACUCACCAGGGGCGACGGCAGAAUGAUGGCCAGGUCGAAGAUCUUGCUUGACGAGCCGAGAGGUAGUGCAUGGCCGUCGUCAGCUCGUACCGUGAGGCGUGCGGUUAAGUCCGUUAACGAGCGAGACCCGUACCCUUAUUUGCCAAAGCUUCGGUUUACCGGGGCGAGCACUAUAAGGGGACCGCUGGCGAUGAGUCAGAGGAAGGCGCGGGCAACGGUAGGUCUGUAUGCUCCGAAUCUCCUGGGCUACACGUGGACUACAAUGGCGUAAACAACGGGUUGCAACACCGAAAGGUGAGAGCUAAUCCCUUAAAGUACGUCUAAGUUCGGAUCGAGGGUUGUAACUCACCCUCGUGAAGCUGAAAUGCCUAGUAAUCGCACGUCACCAUCGUGCGGUGAAUAUGUCCCCGCUCCUUGCACACACCGCCCGUCAAACCAACCGAGUGGAU